UUAGGUUAAUUUAUCACCUCCUGCCCACAAUUUUGUAGCUGCAAGAAGGAGCGGGAAAAAAGAGAAAAUUUCGGGAAAAGAAAUACGUUUUGAUUUCUGCAAAGCUAUGAAGAAUCUUCUUUUUUCUUAUUUGCUUACACAUGUGGCAGGAAUAAAAAGUGCAACUGUGUUGUUUGCUUAAAUCUGCUAUGCACAAUCUUCUUCUUUCAUCUUCUUCACAAAAUUCUGAAUUUUGAAACAAAGUUUCAGAAUACAAACGAUCCUACAAUCUUUCUCAAAAAUCAGAAAACUCGUUCUUCAUCUCUCUCUACUCGAAAAUCAGAUUUCGUGUUGUGGACUUAUGGUUUCGAAAUCAGAAAAAGAAGGACAAAAGAUAUGGAUUAAGGUAUUUCUAAUUACUUGACUUGUGGACUUUCGUUUCAUGUUCUUCACUCCUCUCUUCAUGCGUUCUUUCUUUUUCUUCUACUUGAUUUUUUUAUUUCUAAUUUCUGAAAGAACAAGAAUUGAGUUUUGAAAAUCAGAGGAACACGAACAUUGAGCACAUCAGUUUUAAAAAUUAGAGGGAAAUGCAUUCAGGAAGUCGAAUUUUCUGUUUUGAAGGUACAAGCAAAUCGAGCUCUAUUUUUUGUCGUUUCUAGUAAGUUUCUGAUAAGUUUUGAAUGAGCACAACAGUUUCUGUUUCGUUUCUGAUUAAGUUUUAAGAUGUAAAUUAGUUUCUGUUUCGUUUUUGUCUUUCUGUUCAAGUUUUGAUUUGAUAUCAAGUUUGUUUUUUUUAUAUAGUUUUCAUACUCUUUCUUGCUGAUUUAAAGUGACGAAAAUCAUAAUGUACAAUUUAUUCGUUUCCCAUCUAUUUUUGAUGUGUUUCUGAUUUGCUAUCCGAUAAAUUUCUAAUUUGCUAUCUAAUAAGUUUUUGUUGUUUUCUUUACGGAUUUCAUACCCUUUGUUGCUUGAGUUUCGACAUAUAGAACCAAAAUUCCAAAAAGAAAUAUUAGGAGAAGGCUCUUUUCAAAUAGAAACCAUUUUUUUUAAUGUAAUUUUAAUUUUAUGUAUAUGCGAUGGAAAUUAAAAGUUUAUAAUUUUUUGUUUAAAUUUUUGGAUCUUUUAAAUUUGAAGGCUUAUUUUUUGUUAAAUCGUACGAGGCCUCCAAAAUCUUGGGACCGACCCUGUCGAAAAGAGCUAACUGAUAUAUCAAAAUGAGAGAGAUAUUAAAUAUAUUUAAUUAAAAAAUCUAUUAAAAUUUGGAUUUCUAUUUUCGUAAAAAAUUGAAGAUGUUUUGUCAAAAAUUGAUUCUCAAGUUUCAUGAUGAAUAUUACUAUUUAUCGAGAACUAAAAGUGUUUUAUUUUGCCAUCAAGACUAAAUUAAUAUAAAAAUCACAUUCAAAUAAAUAAGUAUGUGAGACUACUUUAUAAACUUCUAAAAUAUUUAUAGAUAAUGGAAAGAGGUUUAUAAAUAAAUAAGUAUGUGAGACUAGUUUAAAAUUCUAAAAGAUUUAUAGAUAAUGAAAAGAGGUUUAUAGGAUUUUGCAAGCUGUGUUACGGCGGUAACAAUAGAUUUAAUAAGAUGAACUCUUUUAGUAAUAAUAGAGGAAGUCAAGGACCAAAACCAUGCGUAUAAACUUAGGAGGACUUAUGCUACCAAAACACAAAAGUCUGGUACAAAAACCAUGUCAAACAAAAUGCUUAAAAAGAAGCACCAAAAUGUAAAAAAAAAAGAUUUAUUUCAAAACACAUGCAAACUCGAAGCACACAUAAAAAAAUUAUAUCGAAAUAUAGACAAAAUUAAAGUUAUACUGACAUGUACAUAAAAAAACAAAGAUUUUUUUUUAAAUUAAUGGGCAAAACUUCUAAAUUUACAUCGACACGUUGAUCACUUUGAAUUUAUACCGAGACUUAUAUUAAAACAAACAAAUAAUAAAUUAGUAUUUCUUAUAACUUAAUGUGUUCUUCAAAAUUCAAAGGCGAAGGAUCAAAGUAAUAUUUUACAAAGUCGAUAGGUGGUAACUAUAGGAAAAUCAUAUUAUGUAUACUAUGGGGUAAAAAUGAAAGUUUAAAAAAUGAAUAGCUGAAAGUGAAAUAUUAUAAAGUUUAUAGUUGACGGGUGAAAACCACCUUUUAAAAAUAAAUGAUAAAAAAAUAGUGAAGAUGAAAAUGACAUUUUAAAAUCUUAAAGGAAAAGGUGGAAAUUGUCAUUUUCUAAAGUAAAACUGUGAAAAAUAUAUAUUGACACAAAGUAAAAUGCAGAACCAAAGCCCAAUGGAUAACUCCAUUGACUUUGGUUUCUAGAGUUAAAUUUUCUAUCGAAUCUGAGUAGUCUGAAGUCUGCUCCGAACCUGUUGGAUCCUCUCCGUAGUCUUGAGUACUAUUUCGGUUCUCCCCAUGAUUCUCUGCCCCACUUCUCCCCAGCAUAUCGGGGUCCUGCACUUCCUCCCAUACAACAUCUCGAAAGGAGGACAGUCGAUAGUUGUAUGAUAGUUAGUGUUAUAGGAGAACUCCGCCAACAGGAGGUAAGUAUCCUAACUACCUCCAAAGUCUAAAACACGCGCCCGCAUCAUAUCUUCCAAAGUCUGGAUGGUCUGCUCACUCUGACCAUCCGUCUGCGGGUGGAAGACGGUUCUAGAAUGCAGUCGAGUACCUAACUCGUCAUGAAACUUCUUCUAAAACUUGGAAGUGAACCGCACGUCCCUGUCUGAAAUCACUGAAACUGGCACCCCGUGCCGCGACACUACCUCCCGAAUGUAGAUGUCGGCCAACUUUUCGGACGAAAUACUCUCCUGAAUCGGAAUAAAAAGGGCGCUCUUGGUCAAUCGAUCAACGAUGACCCAAAUCAAGUCCACCCCUCGCGCGGUCCUGGGAAGUUUCGUAAUGAAGUCCAUAAUAAUAUCCUCCCACUUCCACAGUGGGAUAUACAAUGACUAGACCUUGUCGUGAGGUCUCUGGUGCUCAGCCUUGAACUUCCUGCAGGUCAGGCACCUCUCCACAAACCAAGCUAUGUCCCUCUUCAUACAGGGCCACUAAUAAUCGAGACGAAGAUCCCUAUACAUCUUCGUCGCCCCGGGAUGAAUGUAGAACCUAGAUUUGUGCGCCUCUGCCAUCAGUACCUGGCGCUCACCCCCAUGAUACGGGACCCACACCCUACGGUGAAGAGUCAACAUUCCCCGACUAUCAUAGUCGAAGGAGGAAACCUGACCCACAAUUCUCUCACUCUUCUGAUGUUCCUCCUUCACGGGUUCUUGAUGGGCUUCCUGAAUUUGCUCCAGCAAUGGAGUCACAACUGUCAUCCUCAGACAGAUGUCCCUGAUCGGCGCUACCUUGCGGCUAAGCACAUCGGCCACAACAUUGGCCUUCCCCGGGUGGUAGAGGAUCUCGCAAUCAUAAUCCUGUACCACAUCAAGCUACCGACGCUGCCUCAUAUUCAGAAUUGGCUGGUCCAUGAGAUACCUCAGGCUCUUGUGGUCCGUGUAAAUGGUACAACGAACCCCAUAGAGGUAAUGGCGCCAAAUCUUGAGGGUGAAAGCAACAGCCCCCAACUCCAAAUCAUGUGUCGGGUAAUUCACCUCGUGAUGCUUCAGCUGCCUCGAAGUGUAAGCUAUAACAUGCCCUUCUUGCAUCAAUUUCACGCCCAAACCUGAGAUGGAUGCAUCGCAGUAUACCACAAAGUCCUCCAUGCCCUCUGGCAGGGCUAAGAUUGGUGCCUCACACAAUCUUUGUCUCAAUGUCUCAAAUGUGGCCUGCUGCUCAGGCCCCUAACAAAAGACCACGACUUUCCUUGUCAACCGGGUCAGGGGCACGACUACCUUGGAGAAGUCCUGAAUGAACCUACGAUAGUAGCCUGUUGGUCCUAGGAAGCUCCAAAUCUCAGAUGGAGACCUCAGAACCUCCCACCUCAUCACGACCUCCACCUUGGUCGGAUCAACCGAAAUCCCGCUCUGGUUGACAAGGUGUCCAAGAAACUGCACCUCGCGCAACCAGAACUCGCACUUGGAGAACUUAGCAUACAAGCUUUCCUUCCUCAAAGUACCCCAAAACCUCUCGCAAGUGCUCCUCAUGCAGCUCUCGAGUCUUGGAAUAAACCAAAAUGUCAUCGAUGAAAACUAUCACAGACCGAUCCAACAUCGGUCUGCACACGUGGUUCAUGAGAUCCAUGAACGCGGCAAGAGCAUUGGUGAGCCCGAAAGGCAUCACCACGAACUCAUAGUGGCCAUAACACGUCUGGAACGUAGUCUUUUGCACAUCCUCCUCUCUGACCCUCAUCUGACGAUAUCCUGAAUGCAGGUCAAUCUUGGAGAACCAAGAUGCUCCCUAUAGCUGGUCAAAGAGGUCAUCAAUCCUCGGGAGUGGGUAACGGUUCUUCACCAUUACCUUAUUCAACUCCCGAUAGUCUAUAUACAUUCGAUGCAACCCGUCCUACUUCUUCACAAACAGUAUCGGGGCUCCCCAGGGUGAACUGCUCGGUCUGAUGAAUCCCUUGUCUAAUAGCUCCUGCAGCUGCAUAGACAACUCCUGCAUCUCAGAAUGAGCCAACCGAUACAGUGCCUUGGCUAUCGGAGCCACACCAGGGACUAGAUCGAUCCUGAACUCUACCUACGUCUCCGUAGGUAUCCUAAGCAACUCCUCAGGGAAUACAUCCGCAAACUCUUGUACCACGGGCACAUCGCCCACCGUCACCUUACCCGCUUCCCGGGUAUCCAUAACAUAUGCGACAAAUCCUACGCAACCCUGCUGAAGGUAGCGCUUAGCUCUCGCUGCUGAACAUAGAGCUGGUCCUCACUUUGGCCUCUCACCCUGAACCACCAACUCUCUCCCACUUGGGGUCCUGAUCUGCACCAACUGCUGCGCGCAGUCAAUCACUGCCCUGUAGGGGCUUAGCUAAUCCAUACCAAUAAUAACAUUGUUCCCCCACAAUGGUAUGGGAACCAGAUCUACCAGGUAACGCUCCUCGAACAUCCUCAAAACACAAUCUCAGUAGACCUCUGAUGCUCGCACUGACCGGUCGUCCACAAUCUCGACCUCCAAAGGGCAAUCUAGCAUGCCCGAAGACUCAGGAAACUUCUUGCUAAGCGUAAGAGAGACAAACGAUCGGGUAGCACCCGAAUCAAACAUUACCUGAACUGGGAUACCGUUCACAUGGAACGAUCCUAAACAAAGCACAUACAUACCAUAUCAAAAUCACCGCGUCAUAACAUAAAAUCAUAUGAAAGAAAUCGUACCCGUCACUACAUCGGGUGAAGCAAGUGCUUCCUCGGCUGUCAACUAAAAUGCUUGGCUCUGCACCACUGGAGCCUCUACCUUGGCCUUCUGGCCAUCCGUCACCCGUAUCGACGCUAGGGUCGGCGCUGCCGCUGUCCCUGCUGUCAAUCUAGGGCAGUUGGCCUUUUUAUGGCCCCUCUGAUUACAAUGAAAGCAAAUCAGGUCUGAUAUCUGAACUGUGGGAGCAGGGGCAGUACAAUCCCUGCCAAAAUGUCCAAUCUGGCUACACUUAUAGCAGCCCGAACCCAACCCAAUGCGGCAAACUCCCUCAUGUGACCGACCGCACUUUCCACAGUGGUCCCGCCCCUGCUGGCCCUUCGACCUCGCGUCGAAUCCCUUUGGGUUUCUUCCCCUAAACCCCUGCAACCUGCGCAGUCUUUGACUUCCUCUUCCUGAGGUGCUCUAAAUCAAUCUCCCUCUCCCGCACCCUGGCAAUCAUGGACUCCAGGGUCGGGCAGGCCGAAUAGCUGACAUGCUCCCGAAUGUCGGCUCUCAACAUAUCAUGAUAGCGGGUCUUCUGCAUCUCCUCAUCCGCCGCAUACUGGGGUACCAACAAGGCCCUCUCCUGAAACUUGGCGGAGAUCUCCGCCACGGUCUUCAUAGUCUGUCUCAUAUCCAAAAACUCCCUGGCCAGCUGCUGAAGCUCCACAGCUGGCACAAACUUAGCCCUGAAUCGGGUCACGAAAUCUGACCAAGUCAUAGCCUCGACGGCUGGGGCUCCCAACGAAUCACCAACUAACUCCCACCAAUCCCUGGCUCGAUCCCUCAAACAACCUGCAUCAAAAUGGACCUUCGACCCUUCCGGGCAGAAGCUCGUCAAUUGCACAGACUCAAUGUCUGCGAUCCAUCUCCUGGCAGCAAUGGGGUCCUUCACCCCAUGAAAAUCCGGCGCACCACUCCCUUGAAAGUCCUUGAAGGACAGUGUGCGCGUACUCGACUGGCUAGACGUCAGAUCACUCCUGAAUGCCCGGAGGCGAUCCUCCAUCAGCUCAACAAUCCCCUUCUUGAUCGAACCGAAAAUGACCGGGUCGCAUCAAGGAUACCUCUCAUGAUCUCAGACGUGAUGAACUCGCGUAGCCCAUCAUCAACUUGCCCGGAUCCUGCACCCGAGCCUGAUCCCGAUCCUGACCCUAAACCUGAUCCUCCUGCUCCAUGUCGUGUGAUCGCCAUAUUGAAAUUAAGCACAUAAAUGUCAGGAUCAUUCAUGUUCUCGAGAGGUCUCACACACUCUCCAAGUUUCCUGGUUCCAUCUCGGCCCUCCUUGACUCGAGUACGGAUCCUCUGCUUCCAGUAGUACGGGCCCAUACUACCUUCCACAUCUAUCCGUACUUUCCUCAAGGGUUGCUUCCCUUUACUGAUACCCUUUCCUACUAAUCUCUUCCUAGGCCUUCCUAGGGCACCCUCGGACCUACUCUCCGCCAUCGGCUGCACUAGGAGUCCCUGCUUCGCUUCCCUAACUAGCUUGCGGAUACUGUUACAUAUCCGCUCACUAGUUAGUUAAAGUUAGCCAGGACCCCUUAAGAACAAAGCAAGCAGCAUUCGUGCAUCAAGUAACCACAUCAUGCAUAACCUAAUUAGGCUAUCCUACCACUGUCUAAACAGUCUUAGCAUACAGCUCAUACAACAGGCAUCCAAAGCAUCCUCUAGAUCCUUAGCCCUACUCUAGCAUGCAGUUCUCAGAAUCAUAUAUCAGGCAUACAAGGCAUCCUUCUAGAUCCCUAGCCUUAAUCUAGGAUGCAGUUCUCAGAAUCAUGAAUCAUACACAUAACAUAACAAGUGUGGGUAUCUUGGGGAAAACUUACUUGAGCUUGGCCGGUCGCACACAUCACACACCUUGUCUUUUCUCAAAAUUCCUUAACUUUAAAUUUUAGAAACUGUUUUCCUAGGAAAAAAAUCUCUUAGUCCCUCGGUUUGAGUCCAGACACCCCCGAAGGUGUGUCCGGAUCCCUCAAACCAGGGCUCUGAUACCAACUUGUAACAUCCCAAAAUCAAGGCCAAAAAUUUCAUUUUUAAUUAAGUGGUUUAUAAAAUAACUUAUCAAGUCUGUUAGAUGAAUUUUAUAUGCAUCUUCUUGCACAAUUUCCUACGUAUUUCAUUAUUAAAAGUUAAUUAAUUCCCGAUUAUUCUUAUGUAUUUCGUGUUUCAUGAUUAUUUUGAAGAAUGCACGUACUGCUCACGUUUGUUAUGAUUUUUCAAGACCAUUUGGAGCACAUGGAUGAUUGUGCAAGUUCGGGAUGCGUUCGUAGACGCUUAGGAACUUAAUUGGAGUCUAGACCAAGGAAGGAUACCGGGAAAUGAUCAAGAACUUCUUGGAAGGAGGAACGGCGAUCAAAAGAGCCAAAAGAAGCAACUUGCGAUCGUAUCUUCAAUCCUUGCGAUUGCAGGUUAGAUUGCAUGUUGCCUUCGAGGAUUUGUCGAGCCAAAAAAAUUCAUCAGUAGACAAACAGAGAUACUUGCGAUCGCAGGUACAGUCCUUGCGAUCGUAGUUUGGUCAAUUUGCGUCGAAAUAGCAACGUACUUCAUUAAAAAAAUCUCGUGACACGCUUUUGGGUGACACAUGCGAUCGCAGGUAUACCCCUUGCGAUCGUAGGUACGGUGUUUUGACAGCUAGACGUAUAAAUAUAGCCUGAUACUCUUCCAGUAACCAUAAUUGGCGAUUCCUGGCGAUUCAGAGGUUUCCAAGUGAAGAACGCAGAUCUAACGGAGACGAUUCGAUUGUUAUUCGUUUUUUAGUAAGAUUUAUCGUUUAGACUCUAUUUCUACUGUUUGUAAUCCGUUUUUAGCCAUGUCCGGCUAAAAACUCGGAUUUCAGUUUCGCAAGACAUAACCUUUUCGUAUGAUUAAUCAUUAAGCACUAUGUUUGACUAUGAUUACUGUUUAGUUUGAUCAAUUCUGUGUUAAUUGAAUGUCUGAUAUUGAUUUCAGUUUCUGUUGGCCACUUAAAUUGUUUGUAAAUCAUUCUAGUCAUCCAAUUGUUUAGAUCCGUAAUUGUCUAGACUAAUUAGUAAAAAGUGAAAAGUAUUAGAUUAAUUCUUAGAUUAGGGUUAAGUUUGAUAUGAAUAUAUCAAACAAGUUUUAACGCCUCCGAGCUUAUGAGAGGUAUUGAACUUUACUGGGAAUUACACUGUGUCUAAUGCAACUUUUCUUUGUUAAUCAAGAUCUUGUUUGGUUAAUUCAGUAAAAAGUUAGGUUUAAUUUAAAGAACUUAUUUUGAUUAAACGAUUUUUGUAACAAAGAUCAUUAGAGCUUGUUAAUGAACUUUAGUACCAGUUUAAACAAAUGCAUAGUCAAUUAUUGUGUUGAAGAUUAAUUAUAUGAUUAGGGCGUCACCGCGAAAUUGAAAUUGCUUUCUCUCAUUUGAAUUUUCAUCACUUUAAAUUUAGUCAUUUUCUUGUCAUUUUCAAUCUUUGUUAGUUUAAUUUUCAAAAAC
rnacentral:lncRNA from 1 species